UUGAACGCUGGCGGCAUGCCUUACACAUGCAAGUCGAACGGCAGCACGGGGGCAACCCUGGUGGCGAGUGGCGAACGGGUGAGUAAUGCAUCGGAACGUGCCCAGUAGUGGGGGAUAACUAGUCGAAAGAUUAGCUAAUACCGCAUACGACCUAAGGGUGAAAGCGGGGGACCGUAAGGCCUCGCGCUAUUGGAGCGGCCGAUGUCUGAUUAGCUAGUUGGCGGGGUAAAAGCCCACCAAGGCGACGAUCAGUAGCUGGUCUGAGAGGACGACCAGCCACACUGGGACUGAGACACGGCCCAGACUCCUACGGGAGGCAGCAGUGGGGAAUUUUGGACAAUGGGCGCAAGCCUGAUCCAGCCAUGCCGCGUGCGGGAAGAAGGCCUUCGGGUUGUAAACCGCUUUUGGCAGGAACGAAACGGCGCGAGCGAAUAUCUCGCGCUAAUGACGGUACCUGCAGAAUAAGCACCGGCUAACUACGU
rnacentral:rRNA from 1 species